rnacentral:rRNA from 1 species
AUUGAACGCUGGCGGCAGGCCUAACACAUGCAAGUCGAACGAGUGGCGGACGGGUGAGUAAUGUCUGGGAAACUGCCUGAUGGAGGGGGAUAACUCCUGGAAACGGUAGCUAAUACCGCAUACCAUCAGAUGUGCCCAGAUGGGAUUAGCUAGUUGGUGGGGUAACGGCUCACCAAGGCGAAGAUCCCUAGCUGGUCUGAGAGGAUGACCAGCCAAACUGGAACGGAGACACGGGCCAGACUCCUACGGAAGGCAGCAGUGGGGAAUAUUGCACAAUGGGCGCAAGCCUGAUGCAGCCAUGCCGCGUGUAUGAAGAAGGCCUUUGGGUUGUAAAGUACGUGCAGCGGGAAGGCGUUACCCGCAGAAGAAGCACCGGCUAACUCCGUGCCAGCAGCCGCGGUAAUAU